UACGUAGGCAGCGAGCGUUGUUCGGAAUUACUGGGCGUAAAGAGUGUGUAGGCGGUGCUCCCAGUCUGUUGUGAAAUCUCCCGGCUUAACUGGGAGGGUGCAGCGGAAACUAGAGUGCUAGAGGGUGGGAGAGGUAAGCGGAAUUCCUGGUGUAGCGGUGAAAUGCGUAGAGAUGUGGAGGAACACCAGUGGCGAAGGCGACUCUUUGGUCUGUAACUGACGCUGAGGCGCGAAAGCGUGGGGAGCAAACAGG
rnacentral:rRNA from 1 species